CCUACGGGAGGCAGCAGUGAGGAAUCUUCCACAAUGGGGGCAACCCUGAUGGAGCAACGCCGCGUGCAGGAUGAAGGCCUUCGGGUCGUAAACUGCUUUUAUAAGUGAAGAAUAUGACGGUAACUUAUGAAUAAGCACCGGCUAACU
rnacentral:rRNA from 1 species